rnacentral:rRNA from 1 species
GAUGAACGCUGGCGGCGUGCCUAAUACAUGCAAGUCGAGCGAACAGACGAGGUGCUUUCCCCUUUGACGUUAGCGGCGGACGUGUGAGUAACACGUAGGUCACCUCCCUAUAAGACUGGGAUAACUUCGUGAAUCCGGAGCUCAUACCGUAUAAUAUUUCGAACCGCAUGGUUCGAUAGUGAAAGAUGGCUUUGCUAUCACUUAUAGAUGGACCGGCGCCGUAUUAGCUAGUUGGUAAGGUAACGGCUUACCAAGGCAACGAUACGUAGCCGACCUGAGAGGGUGAUCGGCCACACUGGAACUGAGACACGGUCCAGACUCCUACGGGAGGCAGCAGUAGGGAAUCUUCCGCAAUGGGCGAAAGCCUGACGGAGCAACGCCGCGUGAGUGAUGAAGGUCUUCGGAUCGUAAAACGCUGUUAUUAGGGAAGAACAAACGUGUAAGUAACUGUGCACGUCUUGACGGUACCGAAUCAGAAAGCCACGGCUAACUACGUG